GCACUGCUGAGGAGUCCCACAAUAGGACGAAACGGCUGUUGAGUGC
rnacentral:hammerhead_ribozyme from 1 species